GGACGUUACUGAAAAGAGAGACAGUUCCUGUUCUCAGAGCAAAGCAGAUAUGCACUGUUACAUUAUAUUAUAACACGUCACUAAUGUUUUUAUAGACUACUGUUCUCAAGUACGUUACCAAGGCUUACUUUAGAUUAUUAGAUUGUCACAGUAAAAGUCGCGAUUUGCAAUCAAACAGUAACUUCUAUAAAGUUCAACCAUGUUCUACCACUGCUGUUGCUUACUUAUGUCGGUACGAUAUGUCGCACAUGCUGCUCAACUGAGUUAAAAAAAAAGCCAAUGCAUAGGACAAUAAAAGUCUCUUCAGUUACCUUUGCUCCUUUAAGACACUUUACAGUACAAUACAGCAGCAAUAUCUAUAGACUUAGAAUCCCAGGAUUUUCCGCGUUGUCUUCGCGUGGAGGGAAUCAGCGCUCGCGGCGGCAGACGGUGCAGCGGCUUCUUUGGUUUUAAGGAAGGGAGUCACAGGAAGUCACUUUUCUGCUACUAUCCAGAAACUAGAUCCGGUGUCUUUCGCCAGAGUUUCCUUUGUAGUUAGGAUCCUUGCAGAAGAAUGUGAGUCAAUAGUAGAGACGUUUGUUAUCCGAGCACGUCUCCUAGUGGCAGACCACUGCUACUACACUACUACUCCUGUUGAACAUCGGGGCUUGUUUUCAAGUCCAUAUAGAAAUGAGAAUUACUGCAAGAAUAUGAAUAUUAGAAUGACACGUGUCCCAUUUGUACAUAUGUAGUAGAUACAAUUUUACAAAUUACAAAUAAUGCAAAACUAACCACAUAAUCAUGGUCCAGCUAUUUCAAUUUUAUUAUGUGACUCUAAAAAUGAUAUAUUUAUUAAUAUAUUGUAAAAAAUGCACUAUGUUUGCCAGGUUGCUCUGAGUUCGCCAUCCUGGAUUUUCACUGUGUCGACAUUGGCAGCAACUCAUCUGUGGAGCGGUUGAGCUUCCCUCCUCUUGCCAUAAUCUGUGGAACCAUGCAAGCUCAUUUGAGCUUUUACCUGGUUGUGGCCGGAGCUGAAGCCCUCAUCCCUGUCCUUGCCAUUCCAAACCACUUACCACAGGUCUCCAUUUCAUCACCACGCAUCCUCUCCCGUAUACCCCAAACCAGCCAUCUGCCCUCUUUCUCCCCUUUCACUGGCUGCAUAAAGGUACUGGUGGUUAUUUCACGAUUAAUGCUAUGUUCUUCUCUUAUAGCACGAGCAUGAGAAUCGCUGUGAGGACUGCAUUGAUACAGUCAACUUAAUUACUUUCAUUUGUAAAUAAACACUGUUAAAGCUGUUAACA
rnacentral:lncRNA from 1 species